CACGGGGAGAGGCCCGACGCGGGGCCGAAGGAAGGGUGGUCUUUCCCGCAGAGUUGCCGCUGGAGGACCGAAAGUUUUGCAGGCAGCCCUUGCUUCCAUCUUGUCCCUCUCUCCCCGGGUCCCUGUCGCCCAACGCGAGGCGACCCCGCUGGGGUCCCGACGGCUUGGUGGGGAGGAGCCGUGAGGGGUUGCGCCCCCCACCCCCACCCGAGCCAGGGAAGGGACCCUGGUGACCUCGCCUCCCAGCCCUCACCCCCGUCACCCCUUUCUUCUCUUUCCUGGAGGACUUUGGACCGUGGAGAUUCUGCAGUUGUUGCUCUGGGAGCUGAAACCAGUGGGUAGAUGUCGUUCUGAAACGCAGAGAGCUGUGAUCACUUGAGGGUGUCGUGUCAACCUCGUCUCAUGCACCAGCUGAAUUCAGUGACACUAACAUCCUGGAUACUGCAGAUGAGAGUAUUAUGACUGCACUACCAGGGAAGCUGCCCAGGGCUGGAGAUUGCUGUGCUCCAGAGGUGCUUGGUUUGCAGUGUGGGCGGACUCAGCCUGAGCUAAAGCCACAGAAGCGUCUUGAGCUGGAGCCCCGUGCUAGUUUCUUCUUUUUUAAAGAUGUGUCCUGAGGAACCUCAGAUUUGAAAGAAGAGUGAACGGAAUUCAAAUGUGGAAACCACUUAAAUGUCCAUCAACUGAUGAAUGAAUAAACAAAUCAUGGUAUAUCCAUACAAGGAAUAUUAUUCACCCAUAAAAAGGAAUGAAGUCUUAAUACACCUACAACUGGAUGAACGUUGAAAACAUUAUGCUAUCCAUUCUGCUUCAGGUUGGAAAAAAAAACUGGAAAGGAGAAACAGUCUUACCUGCAUGAAAGUCCUAGUACUGCUGUAUCUCGUACUAUAAGUUCAGUUUUCUCCCUUCACCUGAGGGUAAGUUGAAGAAUAACUUCAUAAGCCAGGGAGAGAUACAUUUGGAUCAGGAGUUGGUGAUAACAGGUGAGCUCAAUAAUAAUCCUUUUUGCACUCAUGCUCAGAUGUUUUUUAUGCACCAAGCUUUAUAAUCAUGUAGGUAUACUCUAAGACAAAAACAGAUAAAACUCACCUAUAAGUUUGAGUCACAAAUAAAAUAGUUUGGAUUUUUCCAUGUUUCUGGUAAGUUCUUAUUCUUUGGUAAUAUAGGGAAUAUAUGUUUAUUCAACUACAGUUAAGGCAUAGAUAUAAUUUUAUACUCUGCAUUUUCGUUAUCUUCAGCAUUUGUUAUGUUUCUAUGGUUCAUUAUUGACAUUUUAAUGACUACAUAGUUUUGAUUGAAUAGCCUUACUAUAAUUUAUUUUGAUAUUUCUCUAUUAAGCCUUUUGACUGCAAAGUUUUCAAUAUUAGAAAUUGUACAUAAUAAAAAUAUUUCUGCAUAUAACUUUUAAUUUCCUUUGACUUCUUUUCUUUUUUUUUUUUUUUUUGAGACGGAGUCUCGCCCUGUCGCCCAGGCUGGAGUGCAAUACCACAAUCUCGUCUCACUGCAACCUCCGCCUCCCGCGUUCAGACGAUUCUCCUAUCUCAGCCUCCCGAGUAGCUAGGAUUACAGGCGCCUGCCACCAUGCCCAGCUAAUUUUUCUAUUUUUAAUAAAGAUGGGGUUUCACCGUGUUGGUCAGGCUGGUCUUGAAUUCCUGACCUCGUGAUCCACCCACCUUGGCCUCCCAAAGUACUGGGAUUACAGGCAUGAGCCACCGCACCCGGCCUUGACUUAUUUUCUUAAAAUAAAUUUCAUUUAAGUUACUGGAUCAAGGGGUGUGAACAUUUUAAGGUUCUUGAAUGCAGUAUCAAAUUGCUUUGGUAAAAGAUUGUACCAAUUUACACUGCUACCAGCAGGGUGUGGGUGUACAUUUUCAACAACUUGCCAGCACCGAAUUUCAUCAUUUAAAAAAGGUUUACAGAUUGUACAAAAUUUAAUUUAAUAUAAACUAAUAAAUUACUGCGUCCAACUUUUGAGCAUGCAUAAAAUUUUUUCCCCAUUUCUUUUUGGUGGCAUCCCUACUAUUUCGUAAACUGCUUGAGGGCAGUUUACAAACCUUGCACAUUGUAGAAAAUCAAUAAUUGCUUUUUGAAACAGUGAAUAAUUCAGGGAAUCCCUGCUCUCAAUAAUUCUUCAGUUUUUAUAAUAGCAGUGGGUUUUGGAUUGUUUUGUUUUCAAGAUAAACUAAAUUACACUUUAUUUCACUGAUGUUGGCAGCCCCGGAGGACUCUGUUUGCAGGAAAAAAAAUGUAUGAAGAUUUUCAUAGGUGAGAAGUAGACCUCUCCCACACAAUGAGAAGAGCAGCUAAAUCAUUGCUCUUUUCUCCCAGUCUGUCCCUGCACUCCCAUCUCAUUUCCUGUCUGCUCCUGAAAAGCCAGCUCAAUAUGAACUAAGGAAAAGCUAUUUGUAGUGCGCAUGGGAGGAAAAAGAACACAAAUAGGCCCUUCCUAAGCUAUUGAGCUUAGCUUUCACUCUUUCCAGCAGGAAAAGGGUCAUGCAUGCCCAGGUGAUACUACUUGUACUUCGGUACCCAUUGAUUGGGACAGUGUGUGCCGAUGAAAAGCUGCUGUGAAUUCAGUAUUGCUUUUUAAAUACGUAUUUUAAUUUCAAUAAUAUCUACAUAAAUUUCAAAAACAGCAAUUAAAAAAUAUGCUUGAGACCAAUUUAUCCGGCUACACCUAUUGGGUGCAUAUUUGCAUUCUCAGAUUCCUUAAAUGUCCUCUGCACGAAGGUUAGGAAACUGUGCCCUGACAAUAAAGCAGUAUCUUAUUAGAACUAAGAGGUUAACUAGUUAAGAGGACUAGAGAAGUCGUUGUUAACUGAUACUUUAUUAGUAUUUAAUACAGUAACCUGCCUCUGCUAGAAGUAAGGACUCCUCAACUUUUAAAGAUAGCUAAUUUUAGAAGUCUGCUUCCUACCGGUUCACCUUUUUCUCAUUGGUGACAGCAACAAACAAUUAAUGGCAUUCUUAAAUGUCUUGCUGUCUGAAAUAAGAUCUUUUUCCAAUUAAAAAGUAACAAAGACUGCACCUCUCCUCUGUUUCCUUCUUUGGCUUUAACAUCUUGACAUCUCUCUCUCUGUCUCCUGUUUUAUCUAAGACCGAGCUUACAUGAAAACAGAAUGAAUGGGUCAUAUGCUUCUGUUGCGGGGGCGGGGCGGGGGGACAGAUUAUUU